rnacentral:rRNA from 1 species
AUUGAACGCUGGCGGCAGGCCUAACACAUGCAAGUCGAGCGGAUGAAGGGAGCUUGCUCCUGGAUUCAGCGGCGGACGGGUGAGUAAUGCCUAGGAAUCUGCCUGGUAGUGGGGGAUAACGUCCGGAAACGGGCGCUAAUACCGCAUACGUCCUAAGGGAGAAAGUGGGGAUCUUCGGACCUCACGCUAUCAGAUGAGCCUAGGUCGGAUUAGCUAGUUGGGUGGGUAAAGGCCUACCAAGGCGACGAUCCGUAACUGGUCUGAGAGGAUGAUCAGUCACACUGGAACUGAGACACGGUCCAGACUCCUACGGGAGGCAGCAGUGGGGAAUAUUGGACAAUGGGCGAAAGCCUGAUCCAGCCAUGCCGCGUGUGUGAAGAAGGUCUUCGGAUUGUAAAGCACUUUAAGUUGGGAGGAAGGGCAGUAAGUUAAUACCUUGCUGUUUUGACGUUACCAACAGAAUAAGCACCGGCUAACUUCGUG